rnacentral:misc_RNA from 1 species
AACGCACGAGACCUGCGGACCUGCGGAAGGAUCAUUAAUGAGAAGCUGCCCCUCGUGGGUAGACCUCCCACCCUCUGUGAACUUACCUUUGUUGCUUUGGCAGGCCCGUCCUCUGGACCGCCGGCUUCGGCUGGCCCGUGCCUGCCAGAGGAUUCCAAACCCUGUCUGUCAGUGUUGUCUGAGUCUAUAUGAAGUCGUUAAAACUUUCAACAAUGGAUCUCUAGAUCGGAAGAGCACACG